rnacentral:rRNA from 1 species
GACGAACGCUGGCGGCGUGCUUAACACAUGCAAGUCGAACGGAAAGGCCCUGCGUUUGUGGGGUGCUCGAGUGGCGAACGGGUGAGUAACACGUGAGUAACCUGCCCUUGACUUUGGGAUAACUUCAGGAAACUGGGGCUAAUACCGGAUAGGAGCUCCUGCUGCAUGGGGGGGGUUGGAAAGUUUCGGCGGUUCUGGAUGGACUCGCGGCUUAUCAGCUUGUUGGUGGGGUAGUGGCUUACCAAGGCUUUGACGGGUAGCCGGCCUGGGAGGGUGACCGGCCACCUUGGGACUGCGAUACGGCCCAGACUCCUACGGGAGGCAGCAGUGGGGAAUAUUGCACAAUGGGCGGACGCCUGAUGCAGCGACGCCGCGUGCGGGAUGCCGGCCUUCGGGUUGUAAACCGCUUUCGCCUGUGACGAAGAGUGAGUGACGGUAAUGGGUAAAGAAGCACCGGCUAACUACGUG